rnacentral:rRNA from 1 species
AUUGAACGCUGGCGGCAUGCCUAACACAUGCAAGUCGAACGGCAGCACAGUAAAGAUUUCGGUCUUUAUGAGUGGCGAGUGGCGGACGGGUGAGUAAUGCGUAGGAAUCUGUCCUGGAGAGUGGGAUAACCCGAGGAAACUCGGGCUAAUACUGCAUGAUAUCGAGAGAUCAAAGGCAGGGGACCCUUUGGGGCCUUGCGCUCUAGGAUGAGCCUACGUCGGAUUAGCUAGUUGGUGGGGUAAAGGCCUACCAAGGCGACGAUCCGUAGCUGGGCUGGGAGGAUGACCAGCCACACUGGGACUGGGACACGGCCCAGACUCCUACGGGAGGCAGCAGUGGGGAAUCUUGGACAAUGGGGGAAACCCUGAUCCAGCGAUGCCGCGUGUGUGAAGAAGGCCUUCGGGUUGUAAAGCACUUUAGUUGGGGAAGAAAAGUAAUGAGUGAAUAACUGAUUGCUCUGACGGUACCCAAAGAAUAAGCACCGGCUAACUCUGUGCCAGCCGCCGCCGUAA